rnacentral:tRNA from 1 species
GGGAAGGUUACUCAGUGGUAGAGUACUUGCCUUGAAUGCAUGAGGCCCUGGGUUCGAUUCCUCAGCACCA